UAGCUGAGGACAGAAAUCAGGUUGCUGC
rnacentral:piRNA from 1 species